rnacentral:rRNA from 1 species
GAUGAACGCUAGCGACAGGCCUAACACAUGCAAGUCGAGGGGUAACAGGGAGCUUGCUCUGCUGACGACCGGCGGACGGGUGAGUAACGCGUAUGCAACCUACCCAUAAGAGGGGAAGAACCCGGAGAAAUUCGGACUAACAACGCAUAAUAACAUUUGAAGGCAUCACAAGUUGUAUAAAUAUUUAUAAAUUAUGGAUGGGCAUGCGUCUGAUUAGAUUGUUGGGGAGGUAACGGCUCACCAAGUCUACGAUCAGUAGGGGUUCUGAGAGGAAGGUCCCCCACACUGGUACUGAGACACGGACCAGACUCCUACGGGAGGCAGCAGUGAGGAAUAUUGGUCAAUGGGCGAGAGCCUGAACCAGCCAAGUCGCGUGAAGGAAGACGGCCCUAUGGGUUGUAAACUUCUUUUGUAAGGGAAUAAAAAGGGUUACGUGUAGCUCCUUGUAGGUACCUUACGAAUAAGGAUCGGCUAACUCCGUGCCAGCAGCCGCAGUAAAAC